CAGUUGCCUCCCUGGAGAACCCUGCAGUGACUCCUCUUCGCUGCAUCCUCGGCGUGCGCGCGCCCACACACGAAAAGGGUACUCUUAUCUCUCGCUCCCUUGGGUACCACUCUUGUACAUUUCGCCCGCUGGGCCCCGCCCCUUUCCUCCUCGCCGGGCCCCGCCCCUUCGGCUUGGAACGCGCUUCCCCGGGCUCCGAUUGGCUGAAGCCUUGCCGUAGCUCGGGACCGGAGCCGCUGUGUCUCUAGCUCGCGUGCGGCCAGCAGUUUGCAGCAGCGGCAGCAGCAAUAAUAGCAGCAGCAGCAGAAGAAGCAGCAGCAGUGCGCGCCGGGUUGGUGGGGGGAGGAGGAGGUGGUGGAGGAAGGCAGAAGCCGGCGCUUGCAAAAGUCGGGCAGGGGGAGCGGGUAGUGAAAUUUAAAAUUUGGAAACAGAGAAGGAAGGGAAAAGGAAAGAAAAGAAAGGGGGAGAAGCGGCGGACCGAGGAGCUGACCCGCUGGAGAGCGAUGCAAGCCACUGCGGUCUGGCUGGCCUCUGCAAAGGCGCCCGCAGCCCGCCUGGUGGAGCCGCGGAUUGGCUUCCAGAGAACUUAACAUUAAAGAGAGACAGAGAGAGAGAGGGGGGCAGCAUCCACCAAUUUAGCUCUUCUUUGCAAGGGAUUCUUAUAUUUAUUCUUCCACCUGGCUUCCUGCUCCACCGGAGCUCCAGAGUUGUUCCCCCGCUCCUCCUCCCCCUCCUCCCUCCACAGUUUGCAAAAGGACGAUGAGGUUUGCAACCAAACUUUCCUCGCCUGCGCUUUGUUCCCGUUGGCGACUAGCGGCCCGGAGGAUGCCGAACGCGAAAUAAUCAUGGGGAGAGAGAAGAGGAGAAAGGAGAGUCUCCCCGGCGAAGGAUUGCAACAGCGGCGCCUUUGAUUCUUUCUCCCUCCCCCCCCCGCCCUGCUUCGUGCCUCCCGCCCAGCGCAGAGCCGUCAGCGGUGGUUCCUUCUUCCUUUCUACCCCACCCCCGUUUAAACCACGGAAUACCAUCCACCAGCAGUUCCUCGUUUUGCACACCGAGUGCACGGAGGUGCUUCGGCGGCAGUUCUCUAAGAAGACGCUCUCUCUGCCUUCUGAUUUUGCCGAGCUGACUCCUCUCCGCACCCGCGCCUCCCAGGCCACCCCAUCCGCCCGAUCUUCCUUUCCCACCCAGGGCCAGUUUCGCUCGUGUGACAUGACCGGACAAGGAUUUUUGCCUCUGCUAGUGGCCCCUUCCUUACGGCCCCUCCUCCGCAUGCCCUAGCCUUACUUUCCGCCUAGCCUCCCUCUCUGCACCCCGAUUUCAGCCGCUCUUUAUUACUGUCAUUUUUCUAAAAUAAUAAUCUCCGGAUAUCUGAACACCUUCGCCAAGCGGAGGCUCCCCCAGAGAGUCCGCGUUUUGCAUAAAGGUCUGUACAAUUUUUGGGGGGAAGGGAGUGGAAGUGAAGGAAAGGGGGGCAAGAAGAGAAAGAGAUUUGCGCAUGCCAGGUGCAAGUAAAUUGAGGCGCCUCUCCAGUAUACAGACUGCACUUAGGAUGUGUGUGUGUCUGUGAUUCCCCCCCCCCCAAAAAAAAAAAUUGAAUAUAGCUGUGCUGUAACUUAGAACUCUCCUUGACCUGGCUGAGUGGAAGAUAAGGAUUCGAUGUUUCUCUCCCCAUCUUUAGGUGGUGUUGCUUAUUCUAGGGACUGAGGCUGAAAGAUUUGUGGCAGGGAAGCAAAAAGCAAUUAGCUCUUAAAGUAACCACAUCCAAAGUCUCCCCUUCCUUCUCCUGAUUAACCCCCAGCCACCCACCCUGUCCAGCUCCCCUGCCUCUCCUUCUGAUUCGCUCCUUUCUUUCUAUCUAUCGCUGAAACAAACCCCAAACUAGUAAGCCCAAA
ensembl:lncRNA